rnacentral:rRNA from 1 species
CAUAGGUUGAGGAGGCGGUGACCGUGGCGGUGGAGGAGAAGAUGAGGUAGCCAACACUGUAUAUAUAAUUUUAAUUGGGUUAGCCCAAAAAAUAUUGGGACAUAUAAAAAAAGACAGCUCUGUUCCGCAGAGUAGCUGUUGACAUUAUAGUUGCGCAGGAACUUUGUUGACUCUAGAGAACCUCGGGCAAAUCACACAUCCCGCGGCGGCAACUUUGCAUGCGGAUGUCAUCCAUAUCAACUUUUGAUGCCAGUUUCUGCGCCUAUCAUGGUGACCACGGGUAACAGAGAAUCAGGUUUCCAUUCCAUAAAGGGACCCUGAGAAACGGCUACCACAUGCAAGGAAGGAAGCAGGCUCGCAAAUGACCCACUCCUGACGCGGGAAGGUAGUGACGACAAAUAACCAUACAGGACUCUUUAGAAGCCCUGUAAUUGUAAUGAGUCCACUUGAAAUCCUUUAACUCUGAUCAAUUGGAGGGAAAUCUGGUGCAGAGCCACUGUCCCGUGCGUGCUGCAGCUGAAACUCCACUAUCUCCUGCUG